AACGUAGGAGCCUAGCGUUAUCCGAAUUCACUGGGCGUAAAGCGCGUGCAGGCGGUUCGGUAAGUUGGAUGUGAAAUCUCCUGGCUCAACUGGGAGAGGACGUUCAAGACUGUCGGACUAGAGGACGGUAGAGGAAGGUAGAAUUCCCGGUGUAGUGGUGAAAUGCGUAGAUAUCGGGAGGAACACCCAUGGCGAAGGCAGCAAGCUGGGCGACACCUGACGCUGAGGCGCGAAAGCGUGGGUAGCAAACAGG
rnacentral:rRNA from 1 species